CACAAUUGUUAAUUUCUUUACUAACCUACCUUAAGCCCUUUAUUUUUAUUUUGGAAAAGCAUUAUAAAUAUUUUCUAAUCUCAAAACUUAAUUCCUAUGAUUUAAUAAUAAUGUGUGAAUAAGAAAGCAUUAUUCAGAAUUUUAUGCAUUUAAUAGUGGUUAAGCAUUUAUUUAAAUACCUUAAUCAAAAGGCAUUAAAUAAAUACUUAAAUUUUAUUAUUUUUCCUAGGGUUUAAAAAUUUUGAUGCAUAAAAGAAAAUAAAACAAUCCUAAUAAAAUUGGUUGCACUAUUUUUGGACAUUUCUACAAUUUCUAAUGAAUUAAAUGGUGAUAAACGAAUUUAAACUAUUUAUCUGCAAAAGGAAAAACCAAUGAUUAUCCGAAACCCCCUGUCAAACUUUUCUCACCAAACUCCUUUCUACCCCCUCUCUCUAGCACCUGGGCCCCUUGGACUGGCCCCUCUCUCCCUCUCCUUUUCUACCCGCCGGCCCCCUUCUCUCUCC
rnacentral:lncRNA from 1 species